UACGUAGGGUGCAAGCGUUGUUCGGAAUUACUGGGCGUAAAGGGUUUGUAGGUGGCUUGCUAAGUCAGACGUGAAAUCCCUCAGCUUAACUGAGGAACUGCGUCUGAGACUGGCAAGCUUGAGUGCAGGAGAGGAACGCGGAAUUCCAGGUGUAGCGGUGAAAUGCGUAGAUAUCUGGAGGAACACCGGUGGCGAAGGCGGCGUUCUGGACUGUAACUGACACUGAUGAACGAAAGCCAGGGGAGCAAACGGG
rnacentral:rRNA from 1 species